UAGUUUGAUCCUGGCUCAGAAUCAACGCUGGCGGCGCGCUUAACACAUGCAAGUCGCACGAGAAAAGGGGCAACCCUGAGUAAAGUGGCGCACGGGUGAGUAACACGUGGAUGAUCCACCUCUUUGUGGGGAAUAACUCUGGGAAACCGGAGCUAAUACCGCAUAAGCUCGAGAGAGGAAGGCAGCAAUGCGCAGAGAGAGGAGUCCGCGGCCGAUUAGCUAGUUGGCGGGGUAAAAGCCCACCAAGGCUUCGAUCGGUAGCCGGCCUGAGAGGGCACACGGCCACACUGGCACUGAAACACGGGCCAGACUCCUACGGGAGGCAGCAGUGGGGAAUCUUGCACAAUGGGGGAAACCCUGAUGCAGCGACGCCGCGUGAGUGAUGAAGUCCUUCGGGAUGUAAAGCUCUUUCGACGGGAACGAUAAUGACGGUACCCGGAGAAGAAGCUGCGGCUAACUACGUGCCAGCAGCCGCGGUAAUACGUAGGCAGCGAGCGUUGUUCGGAAUUACUGGGCGUAAAGAGUGUGUAGGCGGUUGGGCAAGUUCGGUGUGAAAUCUCCCGGCUUAACUGGGAGGGUGCGCCGAAAACUGCCCGGCUUGAGUGCGGGAGAGGAAAGCGGAAUUCCUGGUGUAGCGGUGAAAUGCGUAGAUAUC
rnacentral:rRNA from 1 species